GUCGCACUCGGACCGGGCUUUAUUCCUUUGGUAUUCUUCGGUGGUAUGGACAUUUUGGGUUACGAAAUCCAGGAUUGGGAAUUCCAGAUUCCGUUUGAUCCGCAGAGAGCAGUAGCAUCCAAGCAUCUGUCGCCGCAGUGGACAACUCUGGAUGGGCGUGAACCUCGGCUUUCCACCCACCAAUGCCCGGAUUUUGAAAGCGUUAUAAAUGACGGUGUAUGUUUUGAUUUGAACGAGCUGCCACUACGAAACCCUGA